rnacentral:rRNA from 1 species
UACGAAGGGGGCUAGCGUUGCUCGGAAUCACUGGGCGUAAAGGGUGCGUAGGCGGGUUUUUAAGUCAGGGGUGAAAUCCUGGAGCUCAACUCCAGAACCGCCUUUGAUACUGGAAAGCUUGAGUCCGGGAGAGGUGAGUGGAACUGCGAGUGUAGAGGUGAAAUUCGUAGAUAUUCGCAAGAACACCAGUGGCGAAGGCGGCUCACUGGCCCGGUACUGACGCUGAGGUGCGAAAGCGUGGGGAGCAAACAGG